rnacentral:rRNA from 1 species
AGUGAACGCUGGCGGUAGGCCUAACACAUGCAAGUCGAACGGCAGCACAGUAAGAGCUUGCUCUUACGGGUGGCGAGUGGCGGACGGGUGAGGAAUACAUCGGAAUCUACUUUUUCGUGGGGGAUAACGUAGGGAAACUUACGCUAAUACCGCAUACGACCUACGGGUGAAAGCAGGGGAUCUUCGGACCUUGCGCGAUUGAAUGAGCCGAUGUCGGAUUAGCUAGUUGGCGGGGUAAAGGCCCACCAAGGCGACGAUCCGUAGCUGGUCUGAGAGGAUGAUCAGCCACACUGGAACUGAGACACGGUCCAGACUCCUACGGGAGGCAGCAGUGGGGAAUAUUGGACAAUGGGCGCAAGCCUGAUCCAGCCAUGCCGCGUGGGUGAAGAAGGCCUUCGGGUUGUAAAGCCCUUUUGUUGGGAAAGAAAAGCAGCAGGUUAAUACCCCGCUGUUCUGACGGUACCCAAAGAAUAAGCACCGGCUAACGUCGUG